rnacentral:rRNA from 1 species
UGGGGAAUAUUGCACAAUGGGGGAAACCCUGAUGCAGCGACGCCGCGUGAACGAAGAAGGUAUUCGUAUCGUAAAGUUCUGUCCUAUGGGAAGAUAAUGACAGUACCAUAGAAGAAAGCUCCGGCUAAAUACAUGCCAGCAGCCGCGGUAAUACGUAUGGAGCGAGCGUUGUCCGGAAUUAUUGGGCGUAAAGGGUACGCAGGCGGUUUAAUAAGUCGAAUGUUAAAGAUCGGGGCUCAACCCCGCAAAGCAUUGGAAACUGAUAAACUUGAGUAGUGGAGAGGAAAGUGGAAUUCCUAGUGUAGUGGUGAAAUACGUAGAUAUUAGGAGGAAUACCAGUAGCGAAGGCGACUUUCUGGACACAAACUGACGCUGAGGUACGAAAGCGUGGGGAGCAAACAGG